rnacentral:rRNA from 1 species
AGCGGAGGAAAAGAAACCAACAGGGAUUGCCCUAGUAACGGCGAGUGAAGCGGCAACAGCUCAAAUUUGAAAUCUGGCUUUCGGGCCCGAGUUGUAAUUUGUAGAGGAUACUUUUGAUGCGGUGCCUUCCGAGUUCCCUGGAACGGGACGCCAUAGAGGGUGAGAGCCCCGUCUGGUUGGAUGCCAAAUCUCUGUAAAGUUCCUUCGACGAGUCGAGUAGUUUGGGAAUGCUGCUCUAAAUGGGAGGUAUAUGUCUUCUAAAGCUAAAUAUUGGCCAGAGACCGAUAGCGCACAAGUAGAGUGAUCGAAAGAUGAAAAGCACUUUGAAAAGAGAGUUAAAAAGUACGUGAAAUUGUUGAAAGGGAAGCGUUUAUGACCAGACUUGGACUUGGUUAAUCAUCUGGGGUUCUCCCCAGUGCACUUUUCCAGUUCAGGCCAGCAUCAGUUUUCGCCGGGGGAUAAAGGCAGCGGGAAUGUGGCUCUCUUCGGGGAGUGUUAUAGCCCGUUGUGUAAUACCCUGGUGGGGACUGAGGUUCGCGCUUCUGCAAGGAUGCUGGCGUAAUGGUCAUCAACGACCCGUCUUGAAACACGGACCAAGGAGUCGUCUUCGUAUGCGAGUGUUCGGGUGUCAAACCCCUACGCGUAAUGAAAGUGAACGCAGGUGAGAGCUUCGGCGCAUCAUCGACCGAUCCUGAUGUUCUCGGAUGGAUUUGAGUAAGAGCAUACGGGGCCGGACCCGAAAGAAGGUGAACUAUGCCUGUAUAGGGUGAAGCCAGAGGAAACUCUGGUGGAGGCUCGCAGCGGUUCUGACGUGCAAAUCGAUCGUCAAAUAUGGGCAUGGGGGCGAAAGACUAAUCGA